GUGAGGGGGUGACUAGUGACAGAGUGAGGGAAGGGGUGACUAGUGGCAGAGUGAGGGAAGGGGUGACUAGUGGCACAGUGAGGGAAGGAAGGGGUGACUAGUGACAGAGUGAGGGAGGUGGUGACUGUCACUAGUCACCACCUCCCUCACUGUCACUACUCCCUCCCUCCUUCUGUCACUAGUCACGCCCUCCCUCACUCUGUCACAUGUCAUCCCCUCCCUCACUCUGUCACCAGUCAUCCCCUUCCCUCACUCUGUCACCCCCUCACUCUGUCACUAGUCACCCCCUCAC